GCCCAAGCAGGGACCCUGCUCCCCAUUGUUCUACCCCAAUGCUCAAAAUGUAACGCCAUGCUGGCGUGAGUUGUGCUACUCCAUUGCGUAUGGGAAUGACUAGCAGAAACAGAGCAGCCUCCCCGCCAGCCAGAUCAAACCGAGCGAUCGUUGCUCAACCCUUGGGCAAUAAGCACACCUUCCUGUUGUGGGACCAGAGAAGUGAGCAUUGCUGUGUACCGCGUGCGCCAUCUGACACCCUUGUACUUCAGUCACCUUUGAGAGAUGGCCAUCUCAGCCCCAUGGCUGCCAUUUAAAUAAACCUUUCUGCCUCUGGAGAAACCUACAUGGGUUCCUCACCCAGUUCUUCUACAUCACUGUCUUAGACCAACGAACCUCUGCAUCAACCUCAGCAUCUUGGAUAGAGCAUUUUUUGCUUACACACACAUCUGAAGUCAGGCCUUGCUUUGGGAAGCAUGUGACCAUAUGACUCAAGCCAUAGCCCUCCAGGUAGGAAGCCCGGAGAAGCAUAGCCACAACAUACAAGGAGACUUGCAACCAGACCUGAACCAACUCCUGGGAGGGCUCAUCAAUUUUUCAGCACAGAAGCAAGGCCCAGCAAGCAACUGCAACCCAGCAGUUAUCCCGAGUAGGUCAAGCAACCGUUCUUUUCUCCUGGUUUUCUGCUGCUUCAGAGACUAGGACAUGGAGCAAUGGAUUCAGAUGACCGGAACCAAGAUUCCAUCUUAACAUCAGGAAGAAUGUCCUGGCAGUAAGAGCUGUUUGACAGUUGAAUGUGCUGCCUCAGAGUGUGGUGGAGACUCAUUCUUUGGAGGUUUUUAAACAUAGGAGUGCUUUGAUUGUGUAUUCCUACAUGGCAGGGGGUCAGACUGGAUGGCCCUUGUGGUUUCUUCCAACUCUAUGAUUCUAGGUAUGAGCAGCUGCCAACAAAUUCACCUUGAACCAUUAGAAACCAGAUCAAGUGUGAAGCUGCUAGGAGGGGAGGGCAACAGGCAGGAGAGGAAAUGCUGCAUGAGAGCCCACAAGGGCUAUUUCUGGCCUACAAGAAAGAGUCACCUGAACCUUAGCAGGGUUAUACCUAAUCCCAGGUGAAGAGUUCUCCACACUGGAAAAGAAUAGGAAAGGAAAGGCCUAAGAGAUGGAAUAUGGAUGUGGACUUUAACAUACUAAGACUGCAACAUGAAAUAAAUGGGUUGCUGCUUA